GAUAGCUAUUUGUCAAAAUCUAAUAUCUAAAUAUUUAAAGAAAAAUAAUUUAGGAGACAAUAAUAAUUCAUAUUAUGCACAAAUGUAUCUGUGUUUACUUAUAAAGUGACUAAUAAUUAACUACUAUAAACUAUUAAUAAAAAUUAAUGUACAUAAAUUUGUUUACAUAACAAUAUUGAUUAUAUACUUCUCUCUAAAAAUUAUUAUUUUGGUAUGUAGUCUUAAUAUAUUGAAUUAGUAAUAAGUACAA